AUCUGAUGAUGUGGACAUUUACAAAGAAGGUCCCUAAAAAGCUCCCAGGUCUCAAAGAAAAGCUCCCCAUCUGUUUGUGUGAAACUUGUUAUUGCCCUUCAUAGCU